rfam:Felis catus isolate Cinnamon breed Abyssinian chromosome B4, whole genome shotgun sequence.
ACCUGAGUGACUCAGUCGGUUGAGUGUCUGACUUCGGCUCAGGUCAUGAUCUCAUGGAUUGUGAGUUCGAGCCUCAUGUCGGGUU